GCUUACGCCACACCUCCCUGAGCCCGCCCGAUCUCGGCUGAUCUCGGAAGCUAAGCAGGGUCGGGCCCGGUUAGUACUUGGAUGGGAAACGCCUGGGAAUACCAGUGCUGUAAGCC
rnacentral:rRNA from 1 species